rnacentral:rRNA from 1 species
GGGCUUGACAUCCCACGAACCUUCCCGAAAGGGUUGGGUGCCCGCAAGGGAGCGUGGAGACAGGUGGUGCAUGGCUGUCGUCAGCUCGUGUCGUGAGAUGUUGGGUUAAGUCCCGCAACGAGCGCAACCCUCACCCCUUGUUGCCACCGGGUAAAGCCGAGCACUCUAGGGGAACUGCUAGCGUCAAGCUGGAGGAAGGCGGGGAUGACGUCAAGUCAUCAUGCCCCUUACGCCCUGGGCUACACACGUGCUACAAUGGGGCCGACAAAGAGACGCAAAGCCGCGAGGUAGAGCAAAACUCAAAAACGGUCUCUAAGUUCAGAUUGCAGUCUGCAACUCGACUGCAUGAAGGAGGAAUCGCUAGUAAUCGCGCAUCAGCACGGCGCGGUGAAUACGUUCCCGGGCCUUGUACACACCGCCCGUCACACCACGAAAGCCGGCUGUACUCGAAGUCGCUAGA